UACGAAGGGUGCAAGCGUUAAUCGGAAUUACUGGGCGUAAAGCGUGCGCAGGCGGUUUUGUAAGACAGAUGUGAAAUCCCCGGGCUCAACCUGGGAACUGCAUUUGUGACUGUAUAGCUAGAGUACGGCAGAGGGGGAUGGAAUUCCGCGUGUAGCAGUGAAAUGCGUAGAUAUGCGGAGGAACACCGAUGGCGAAGGCAAUCCCCUGGGCCUGUACUGACGCUCAUGCACGAAAGCGUGGGGAGCAAACAGG
rnacentral:rRNA from 1 species